UGUUGCCGAAGGCGUCAAUCACCUCAUCCUGCUGCUUGAUCUCCACCUUCUCCUUAAUGGCGAUCAGGUUGUCACCCUCGCGCACCAUCUUGCCGCCGCCCACGAUCCACCGCUCAUUGCACAGCGCGGACACGAACUCGUUGUGGUGAGAGAUGACGACGAUGCCGCCGCCGAAGUCCUUGAUGGCGCCGGCCAGAGCGCCCAGCGAGUCGCGGUCCAGGUAGUUGGUGGGCUCGUCCAGCACGAUCAGGUGGGGGUUCUGCCAGGUGGCGGCAGCCAGCACGACCUUCACCUUCUGGCCGCCCGACAGGCCGCGGAUGUGGCUGUGCAGGGCGAACUCCGACUCCAGGCCCAGGUCCUCCAGGUGCUUCUGGAUCGAGGCGGUGGUGAGCGGGCGGGUGAACAGGCCCAGCGCGGCGGCCUCCUUGAUGUCCAGCUCGUUCACCAGCUUCUCGUAGCCCAGCUCCACCAGGGUGUCGCGGGGCAGCCAGCUGGUCUGGUCGGCGGCGGUGUUGGCCCACUGCACCUCGUACUCGUACGACUUCUUCAGCUUGCGGCGAGCCAGCAGCUUCUCCACCGAGCGCUUGACCUGUUGUGUGAAGAGGAGCGAGGAAAAUGGGAGCGCGGCGUGAAUCACGUGGAGGAGGACACAUGGCAGCCUGCGGGACCUAUUACUGAUGCUUGACCAAGCUCGCUCGCCAUCUGACCCGUCCCCACGUGUACUGAUGCAACUCCAAUUUGCCCUCCAUUACAGCUCCUCUCCCGACACGCCUGCUCCUGCUCCACGUGGGCCCAGCAAACCUGCCCUGCUCCUCCUCCCUGUCCUGCUCGCCCUUCCUCUCACCUUCGGGUCGUCGCCGAUCUGCACCUUGUUCUCCUGCAGCUUCUUCUGCUCCUCCUCGGUCAGGCGGGUCUCCUUCUCCUGGGCCUCGCGGUCCUCACCGGGGGCGAAGCGCCACUGGAUGUACUCGUUGGGAGUCUGCGCGGGAACAGAAAUACGAGGAUGGCGGGUCAGGCGGGGUCAAUCAACCAUCAAUACCGUCACUGCUUGUCAGGACGGCCGACGCAGCAUCGAGCUGUCGAGACACUCAUACCCACGCCUAAGCCCGGGCGAACCACCCCCUCCCACCCACCUUGUCCAGGUGCUUCUCCAGGUGGUGGAAGGCGUGCUGCGCCACGUAGGCGAUGCGCAGGUUGGGGUGCUUCCACACGGUGCCGGCCACGGGCUCCACCUCGCCGGUCAGCACCUUGAUCAGGGUCGACUUGCCGGCGCCGUUGGGGCCAAUGCAGGCCACGCGCGACGACAGGGUGCAGUAGGCGGUGGCGCCCUCGAAGAUCAUGCGGUCGGUGUUGGGGUACUUGUAGGACACGCGGUCGGCCUUCAGGAUGGCCUUGUCCUUGGUCUUGACACCCUCCAGGUAGCCGGGCUCGGGCAGCUUGAAGGUCAGGGUGGAGGCAGUCAGCUCGUAGUAGGCCUUGGCCUCGGGCUUCUGCUCCACGAACUUCGAGAGGUUGCCCUUGUACACGCGCAGCUUGCGGUUGUUGUAGUCGAUGAUGUGCGUGCACACGUGGUCCAGGAAGCCGGAGUCGUGCGACACAAUGAUGGAGGACACCUCGUCCAGGCCCACCAGGUAGUCCUCCAGCCACUUGACGUUGUGCACGUCCAGAUGGUUGGUGGGCUCGUCCAGGAGCAUGAUGUCGGGCUUCAUCAGCAUGGUGCGGGCCAGCGCCAGCUUCAUCUUCCAGCCGCCGGACAGCGAGCCCACGGCCUUGUUCAGCAGCUCCUCGGUGAAGCCGACGGACGAGAGCAUGCUGGUCACCUGCUCCUUGGUGGUGUUCACGGCGGCCUGCAGGUUCUCGUCGGCGAAGACGAACUCCACGCAGUUCAGGUCCGACAGCGAGCCGUCGAUGUCGUGCUCCACGUACACGGUGCGCAGCACGUCCUUGGGCGGGAAGCCGUCCACCUGGCCGUUGGCAAUGGCGCGCAUCAGCGUGGACUUGCCCACGCCGUUGGGGCCGCACAGGCCGUAGCGGCGGCCACGCUUCAGGCGCAGCGCGGCGUUGUUGAGCAGAAUCUUGGCACCGUACGCCAGCGAGAACUCGCAGUUGCACAGCUCCUCGCCCUCCUCGUCGUCGAAGUACUCGGUGGACUUGACCUGUGCGCGCGUGGGUCGGUGGCGUGAGGAGAGGCAGGUAAGUGCUGAAAACAUGGUCGGGUGCCCAGUUUUCCACGCGUUGUGAGGCUUCCAAACACCGUUCACGGCGUCAGGACGCCGAGUCACAUACACACACCCUCGCACGUGCACAUGAGCCCUGUCACCUUCCCGUCCGCUCACCUGCACCUCGGCGAAGCACUUGUCGGCCAGGGUCUGAGCGAUGGGGGCCAGGGUGUCCUUGGACACGAACACGCCCAGGUAGGUGCCGAUCACCUUGUCGCGCCACUCCUCAAUCUCGAAGUUCUUGUUGUUGGUCAGGUUGGCGCACAGGGCGGCGGCGUAGUCCAGCACGGGGUAGGCCUCGGGGACCAGGCCCUUCUUGCCCUCGGCGGUGGCCGCCAGCAGGUCGUGCAGGGUCUUCAGGGCGGCGCCCUUGUCCAGGGUCUUGGCCAGCUUGGCCUUGCCCUCGGUCUCGAUGUGCUGCAGCGUCUUGAUGGCGCUGUUCGACACCUUGCGCAGCUCGGGGUCAGCGGCCUCGUUGGCCACCUGUUGGUCGGGAGGGGCAGAGAGCGGGAAGGGGUGAGGGGAGCGGCACCAACAUGCGGUACACGGAGCACAAACCACCUUGCAGACAGCAGUGGCGCCAUGCAUUCUCCCACCUCGAGCCCCACCAGGCAGCCGCCCCGCAACUCCGACACCCGAUUACCGCCGUCCCUUUCACCAGCCACCCCACUUCGCACCCAGGCUCACCUUCUCGAUCUCAGGCAUCAGGCGGGGCAGGAACACCAGGGCCUCAGCCGGGUUGUCCACCAGCUUAGCCAUGUUGUCAGCCACCACGGCGGCCUUGCGCUUGAUGGCGGUCACGCGCUCGCGCAGACCGCGCAGCAGCAGGGGCACCAUCAUGGCCAGGGCGGGGGCCUCAACCUGUGUUGGAUUGAAUUGAGAUGAGCGGCGAGGCAACGCGGUCAGCCGGGGUACUUGCGGCUAGUUUUGUCAGUCCCCCGAACCUCACGCCCGAAGCUGCUAGCCAGGCAAACCGUUCGCGUUGGUGGGGCUCACUCGGAGUAGCCUACUUGCUGCUGGCACGGUGCCCCUCUCACUUCCUGGGAAAGCUUACGCCCAAAGCGCCCCGCUGCAUCUCUUUCAACAGGUCAAGUCACGCUCGCUAGCCAGGUACCAAGCACCCCGACUCACCGCCUGCACGAAGGUGGUGGAGGCCAGCUUGUGCACGGUCUCCUGCACCUCCUCGGGGUGGUUGAUGGAGCGGAUGAUCAGGGGCACCAUGGCGUUGAUGUCGCGGUUGCCCACCAGCGUGCAGGCCUCCUUCAUGGUCUCGGUGGCCACGUCCUGUGGAAGGCGACAUACAGAGGGACAGGCGGCAUGGUUGUCACAACGUGUCGAGCAGUGGCGGAGGUCACCGCAACGUGCAUGCUUCGGCCCCAACCAGCCCCCCCUCAAAAAACGCGAGCCCCGCGUGCGCGAAACCAUUUGCAUGACCCUGACACCGAUUCCCUUUUCGAACCGCGCCUUAGCAGCGCCCCAUCCCCAGCCCCCGUCCAAAUCCCAUUCCAUACAAACGCCUUCGCGGCUUACCUUGACGCUCUGCUUGGAGUCGUUCAUGCAGCCGGAGACGGCGGGCACGAUGUCGGGCAGGGCGCGGGUAAUCUGCUUGGGGUGCAUGCCCACCAGCUGCUUCACCAGCAGCAGCGAGGCCUCCUUGGUGGCGGGGUGCUUCUUGGCGUCCAUGCACUCGAACAGGUAGCCCAGGAUGGUGUACACGGCGUGGGG
rnacentral:lncRNA from 1 species